rnacentral:lncRNA from 1 species
AUAGGAAAUAAUAAAUAUUCACAAAAUUAUAAAAGUCUCUCUCACUGACAUUUGUAGACAACCACAACUGAUCUGAAGUGUCUUCAUACUAACUGUUCACCCCAUGGAGUGGUUGCAGCCAAAGUAGGAUCGUUAGCAAGUAAAGUUGGAGAAGCCAUUUUGUGUCUCAGGAUUGCAUUCAGGAAUACAGGAGAGUUCUUAGCAUGACUGAGACCAUAUAGCCAUUUACUUGGAAGCUGAAGUCCCUGUCAUGGAUAUCCUAACACCAAGCUCAGUUCUACAGCAAAGCAAAAGUGUACUCACUGGGCAGACAGAUACUGAUUACAGGACUCUCUCUAGAGACACGGCUAUACCCUGAAUCUAUUUGCUGCCCCCUGAACAUACUGGGCACCAGGUACCCAGAGAUGGGACAGCUGGAGGAUGGGGAAUGGAGAGGAUCCAAAGGCACUAAGAACUGUCUUGGCCUUUCUACAAUAAAUUUCCCAGCAUGACACAGAAGCCCAGUUACACACUUGCACACACACCACUGAGCCUCCCAAGUGUUGAAAUUCUACAUCCAGGCAUAUAUUUAAACUAAGAAAUUUAAAAAGAAACUACCAUGUCCAGCAAUACUUUAAUCAUCCAAAGUAGUAAUAGUAAAGGUAACUGAUGCUAACGUCUAUUAAUGCCACAAAACAUUAAAAAACUCAAGAAGACAAAGAAAUCUACCCUGAUAAAUAUGAAUAUAUGUUUUAAUUUAUGCUUUUUUAUUUUUAAUUUAUGCUUUUCUUGAAAAAUUAUUGUCUUCCAAUGAUUAAUUCUUUUGAGUCAGGGUUAUGUAUGGUUUUGCCCUGAAGCUUUCUUUCUAGAAGAAAUCCCUGGUCUCAGUUUGCUUUCUAGACAAUGAUAGGAGAAACCAUAGGAAAAUGUAAUUCAAAAUCAAAAAGGCCCGUAACUGUCACUUUCUG